rnacentral:tRNA from 1 species
GCGAAAGUGGCGGAAUUGGUAGACGCACUGGAUUUAGGUUCCAGCGCCGCAAGGCGUGAGAGUUCGAGUCUCUCCU